AUUGAACGCUGGCGGCAUGCUUUACACAUGCAAGUCGGACGGCAGCACGGGUGCUUGCACCUGGUGGCGAGUGGCGAACGGGUGAGUAAUGUAUCGGAACGUACCCGGCAAUGGGGGAUAACGUAGCGAAAGUUACGCUAAUACCGCAUAUGCCCUGAGGGGGAAAGUGGGGGAUCGCAAGACCUCACGUUGUCGGAGCGGCCGAUAUCAGAUUAGCUAGUUGGUGGGGUAAAGGCCUACCAAGGCGACGAUCUGUAGCUGGUCUGAGAGGACGACCAGCCACACUGGGACUGAGACACGGCCCAGACUCCUACGGGAGGCAGCAGUGGGGAAUUUUGGACAAUGGGGGCAACCCUGAUCCAGCCAUGCCGCGUGAGUGAAGAAGGCCUUCGGGUUGUAAAGCUCUUUCGGACAGAAAGAAAUCGCCACUUCUAAUAAAGGUGGUGGAUGACGGUACUGUAAGAAGAAGCACCGGCUAACUACGUGCCAGCAGCCGCCGUAA
rnacentral:rRNA from 1 species